AGCAGCCGCGGUAAUUCCAGCUCCAAUAGCGUAUAUUAAAGUUGUUGUAGUUAAAAAGCUCGUAGUUGAAUUUCGGAGUUUAUCGGUUGGUCGGGCUUCACUGUCCGCACUGACCUGAUGGAUUCCUACCUUCUGAAUAACCAGCAUGCUAUUAAAUUAGUGCGUUGGGGAAGCAGAGCUAUUACCUUGAAAAAAUUAGAGUGCUUAAAGCAGGCUUAUGCUUGAAUAGAUUAGCAUGGAAUAAUAAAAUAGGACGGCAUGGUUCUAUUUUGUUGGUUUCUAGGAUCACCGUAAUGAUUAAUAGGGAUAGUUGGGGGCAUUAGUAUUCAAUUGUCAGAGGUGAAAUUCUUGGAUUUAUUGAGGACUAACUUCUGCGAAAGCAUUUUGCCAAGGAUGUUUUCAUUAAUCAAGAACGAAAGCUAGGGGAUCGAAGACGAUCAGAUACCGUCGUAGUCUUAACCAUAAACUAUGCCGACUAGGGAUCGGACGAUGUAAUUUUUAAUGACUCGUUCGGCGCCUU
rnacentral:rRNA from 1 species